GUGGAUUAGAUACCCUGGUAGUCUUAGCUGUAAACAAUGGAUGCUAAGUGGUGCUUUUGUACUGCUGUAGUUAACACGUUAAGCAUCCCGCCUGGGGAGUACGCUUGCAAAAGUGAAACUCAAAGGAAUUGACGGGGGCCCGCACAAGCGGUGGAGCAUGUGGUUUAAUUCGAUGCAACACGAAGAACCUUACCAGGACUUGACAUGUUAGGAAGUUUUUUGAAAGAAAGAUGUGCCUUCGGGAACCUAAACACAGGUGGUGCACGGCUGUCGUCAGCU
rnacentral:rRNA from 1 species